GAUGAACGCUGGCGGCGUGCCUAAUACAUGCAAGUCGAGCGAAUGGAUUAAGAGCUUGCUCUUAUGAAGUUAGCGGCGGACGGGUGAGUAACACGUGGGUAACCUGCCCAUAAGACUGGGAUAACUCCGGGAAACCGGAGCUAAUACCGGAUAACAUUUUGAACCGCAUGGCUCGAAAUUGAAAGGCGGCUUAGGCUGUCACUUAUGGAUGGACCCGCGUCGCAUUAGCUAGUUGGUGAGGUAACGGCUCACCAAGGCAACGAUGCGUAGCCGACCUGAGAGGGUGAUCGGCCACACUGGGACUGAGACACGGCCCAGACUCCUACGGGAGGCAGCAGUAGGGAAUCUUCCGCAAUGGACGAAAGUCUGACGGAGCAACGCCGCGUGAGUGAUGAAGGCUUUCGGGUCGUAAAACUCUGUUGUUAGGGAAGAACAAGUGCUAGUUGAAUAAGCUGGCACCUUGACGGUACCUAACCAGAAAGCCACGGCUAACUACGUGCCAGCAGCCGCCGUAA
rnacentral:rRNA from 1 species